GACGUAGGGCGCGAGCGUUGUCCGGAUUUAUUGGGCGUAAAGAGCUCGUAGGCGGUCUGUCGCGUCGGAUGUGAAAACCCAGGGCUCAACCUGGGCCUGCAGCCGAUACGGGCAGGCUAGAGUUCGGUAGGGGAGACUGGAAUUCCUGGUGUAGCGGUGAAAUGCGCAGAUAUCAGGAGGAACACCGGUGGCGAAGGCGGGUCUCUGGGCCGAUACUGACGCUGAGGAGCGAAAGCGUGGGGAGCGAACAGG
rnacentral:rRNA from 1 species